rnacentral:lncRNA from 1 species
GGGCUGACGUUCUUGCCGAUGCUGCGGAAGUUCUGCCCAACGCCCUGCCUGCCGGCGUUGACCUUCUCCGGGUAGACGCCGUCCUUGGGGUGGAGGUACUGCACCUCGCCGUUGGGGAAGACGCGGUAGAACUGGUAGUUGAUCUUGUACUUGGAGCGCAGCCUGGUGCCGAGCGCCAGGCACUGCUCCUUGCGCGCCAGCUUCAGGAGGUUUGGACCCUCCCGCAUGAUGGCGGCGCCGCCCGUGGGCAUCUCGAACACCUGCUCCUUCGGGGACGUCCACGUGAUCACGUAGAACUCCUCCACCUGCGCCUUCCGGAGCAGCCCGCCCGUGCUGCCGCCGAAGAUGGGCGACGGCGUGUUGGGGUCCAGCUGCGGGGGCACGAAACCCUUGGGGGCCUCCUCAGUCACCGCCGCCGCCGCCGGUCCGUCGUCGGACGCGCGGAGCGGGGCCGGACCGCGGGACGACGGCAUCGCGAGCUGCGAGCUCAGCUGCCGUGGCUUCGCCCAGGCGGCCGCCAGCAGGUGGCGCGUGGCGGCGGAGGCUUGCGUGGCCAUGGCCAUGGGCGCGCGGCGGAGAGCUUCUUGGAAGGAAGGAGAUGAGAGAGUAGUGGACUGGAUGGAGAAGGGCGCCG